CACGUAGGGUGCAAGCGUUGUCCGGAAUUAUUGGGCGUAAAGGGCUCGUAGGCGGUUUGUCGCGUCGGGAGUGAAAACCUUGGGCUUAACUCAGGGCUUGCUUUCGAUACGGGCAGACUAGAGGUAUGCAGGGGAGAACGGAAUUCCUGGUGUAGCGGUGAAAUGCGCAGAUAUCAGGAGGAACACCGGUGGCGAAGGCGGUUCUCUGGGCAUGAUCUGACGCUGAGGAGCGAAAGUGUGGGGAGCGAACAGG
rnacentral:rRNA from 1 species